rnacentral:rRNA from 1 species
CCUACGGGUGACUGCAGUAGGGAAUCUUCCACAAUGGACGAAAGUCUGAUGGAGCAACGCCGCGUGAGUGAAGAAGGGUUUCGGCUCGUAAAGCUCUGUUGGUAGUGAAGAAAGUUAGUGGUAGUAACUGUCCUUUAUUCGACGGUAAUUACUUAGAAAGUCACGGCUAACUACGUGCCAGCAGCCGCGGUAAUACGUAGGUGGCAAGCGUUGUCCGGAUUUAUUGGGCGUAAAGCGAGUGCAGGCGGUUCAAUAAGUCUGAUGUGAAAGCCUUCGGCUCAACCGGAGAAUUGCAUCAGAAACUGUUGAACUGGAGUGCAGAAGAGGAGAGUGGAACUCCAUGUGUAGCGGUGGAAUGCGUAGAUAUAUGGAAGAACACCAGUGGCGAAGGCGGCUCUCUGGUCUGCAACUGACGCUGAGGCUCGAAAGCAUGGGUAGCGAACAGGAUUAGAUACCCUGGUAGUC